rnacentral:rRNA from 1 species
UCAGUCGACUCCUACGGGGAGGCAGCAGUGGGGGAAUAUUGCACAAUGGGCGCAAGCCUGAUGCAGCCAUGCCGCGUGUAUGAAGAAGGCCUUCGGGUUGUAAAGUACUUUCAGCAGUGAGGAAGGCAGGUACGUUAUAGCGUGCUUGUUUGACGUUAGCUGCAGAAGAAGCACCGGCUAACUCCGUGCCAGCAGCCGCGGUAAUACGGAGGGUGCGAGCGUUAAUCGGAAUUACUGGGCGUAAAGCGCAUGCAGGUGGUUUGUUAAGUCAGAUGUGAAAGCCCGGGGCUCAACCUCGGAAUUGCAUUUGAAACUGGCAGACUAGAGUACUGUAGAGGGGGGUAGGAAUUUCAGGUGUAGCGGUGAAAUGCGUAGAGAUCUGAAGGAAUACCGGUGGCGAAGGCGGCCCCCUGGACAGAUACUGACACUCAGAUGCGAAAGCGUGGGGAGCAAACAGGAUUAGAUACCCUGGUAG